rnacentral:rRNA from 1 species
GACAGAGGGGGCAAGCGUUGCUCGGAAUUACUGGGCGUAAAGGGCGCGUAGGCGGGAUGGCAAGUCGGUCGUGAAAUCCCUCGGCUCAACCGAGGAACGUCGAUCGAUACUGCUGUUCUUGAGGAUUGCAGAGGAGACUGGAAUUCCCGGUGUAGCGGUGAAAUGCGUAGAUAUCUGGAGGAAUACCGGUGGCGAAGGCGGCAUCCUGGACCGGCAUUGACGCUGAGGAGCGAAAGCUAGGGGAGCAAACGGGGAU